rnacentral:tRNA from 1 species
GCCUGGGUGGCUCAGUGGGUUGAGCGUCCGACUUCGGCUCAGGUCAUGAUCUCACGGUUCGUGGGUUCGAGCCCCGCGUCGGGCU